rnacentral:tRNA from 1 species
GGUAAUAUACUUUAAGUUAAAAGUUUUCAUUUGCAAUGAAAUAAUGAGUUGUUCUAUUACUA